rnacentral:lncRNA from 1 species
CUUUGGUCUUCAUUUACACUUCUUAGUGAAUAUUUCACUAGGAGAAAGAACGUUCACGUUCCACCACUUACACCCCUGUAAAAGACCUGUCUGGAAGCUGAAGGAGAAUGUAUCCCAUCUGAUCCACAACUCAGGGAUGUA